rnacentral:rRNA from 1 species
AGAGUUUGAUCCUGGCUCAGAUUGAACGCUGGCGGCAUGCCUUACACAUGCAAGUCGAACGGUAACAGGUCUUCGGAUGCUGACGAGUGGCGAACGGGUGAGUAAUACAUCGGAACGUGCCCGAUCGUGGGGGAUAACGGAGCGAAAGCUUUGCUAAUACCGCAUACGAUCUACGGAUGAAAGCGGGGGAUCUUCGGACCUCGCGCGGACGGAGCGGCCGAUGGCAGAUUAGGUAGUUGGUGGGAUAAAAGCUUACCAAGCCGACGAUCUGUAGCUGGUCUGAGAGGAUGAUCAGCCACACUGGGACUGAGACACGGUCCAGACUCCUACGGGAGGCAGCAGUGGGGAAUUUUGGACAAUGGGGGCAACCCUGAUCCAGCCAUGCCGCGUGCAGGAUGAAGGCCUUCGGGUUGUAAACUGCUUUUGUACGGAACGAAAAGACUCUGGUUAAUACCUGGGGUCCAUGACGGUACCGUAAGAAUAAGCACCGGCUAACUACGUGCCAGCAGCCGCGGUAAUACGUAGGGUGCAAGCGUUAAUCGGAAUUACUGGGCGUAAAGCGUGCGCAGGCGGUGAUGUAAGACAGAGGUGAAAUCCCCGGGCUCAACCUGGGAACUGCCUUUGUGACUGCAUCGCUGGAGUGCGGCAGAGGGGGAUGGAAUUCCGCGUGUAGCAGUGAAAUGCGUAGAUAUGC